UACGGAGGGGGCAAGCGUUGUCCGGAAUCAUUGGGCGUAAAGAGCGUGUAGGCGGCCCGAUAAGUCCGCUGUGAAAGUCCAGGGCUCAACCCUAGGAUUCCGGUGGAUACUGUCGGGCUCGAGUCCGGAAGAGGAGUGUGGAAUUCCUGGUGUAGCGGUGAAAUGCGCAGAUAUCAGGAGGAACACCGGUGGCGAAGGCGGUUCUCUGGGCAUGUACUGACGCUGAGGAGCGAAAGUGUGGGGAGCGAACAGG
rnacentral:rRNA from 1 species